rnacentral:rRNA from 1 species
CGUGGUGAGUAUAUAUCGGAAACGUGCCCAGAUAGGAGGGGGAUAACUACUCGAAAGAGUGGCUAAUACCGCAUACCCCCUACAGGGGAAAGGGGGGGAUCGUAAGACCUCUCACUAUCGGAUGGGCCCAUAUCGGAUUAGCUAGUUGGUGGGGUAAAGGCUCACCUAGGCAACGAUCCGUAGCUGGUUUGAGAGGAUGACCAGCCACACUGGAACUGAGACACGGCCCAGACUCCUACGGGAGGCAGCAGUGGGGGAAUUUUGGACAAUGGGGGAACCCUGAUCCAGCCAUCCCGCGUGUAUGAUGAAGGCCUUCGGGUUGUAAAGUACUUUCGGCGGAGAAGAAGAGGUACGGCUAAUACCGGUGGUUGCUGACGUUAUUCGCAGAAUAAGCACCGGCUACUACGUGCCGCAGCCGCGGUAAUACGGAGGGUGCAAGCGUUAACGGGAUUUACUGGGGCGUAAAGCCGUGUGUAGGCGGUUCGGAAAAG